rnacentral:tRNA from 1 species
GAUAGAGUGGCUGAAUUAAAAGCGAUAAAUUGUAAAUUUAUUUAUGAGUUUUCUCCUCUAUUA